GACCUCUCAUUACAAUCACAAA
rnacentral:siRNA from 1 species